UCCUUUAGGAAAAACCUCAUCUUCAUCCGGACAGGGCCUAACCUAAGCGUGAGACCGGUAAGGAAGAUAAAGAAAUUCUUUUCCAAUGAGAAAAAAGAGUAAAAAAGGUUAUCAUAAGUGAGCCGGUAAGGCGAGAUUGCUCGAGACGAAAGGGGCAGUGGAAUCAUCAGCCGAAGCCUAUAAAGAAAUUGGUAACCAAGUCUUCUAAAGCUGGAGGUCUUCUCAUUAGGGCAUCAAUUUCAUGUAAAAUCACCCUUCUUCUUCCCUUACGGGGCGCUAACUAUCAGGGGAUGGGGGACAAGCCAGUCUGCCCAAGCAAUCAAGUUACAAACCGAAGCUCUUUUCUUUGGCUAGGAAAGCCGGGAGAAGACGGACUACUAUAUAGGAAAGCGAGUGGGCCAAUAGAUGAGGAGCAGAAAGGGAAAGAAAAAGAAGAAAGCGGGCUAAGAAAGAGACCCUUGCUUUCGGGCAAUGAUUCCGACUUUCAGAAAGAAAGAACGGAGAGUGAGAAGAAAGAAAUCACUCUACUUACCUUCAGUAGGACAGGAAAGUUCUCUUUUCAACCGCUAAAAAGUAUACUAGAAGGGGAGAAGUCGACUCACUUCACUCCGAUUGACCCAAGGAAAAUCAUAACUGCAAAUAGCGUAUAAGAGAGAAGGGUAAAGCCCUAGCCAACUAUCUUUCCUUUGUGGUGUCAG
rnacentral:misc_RNA from 1 species